rnacentral:rRNA from 1 species
CUGGAGGUAUCAGAAGUGCGAAUGCUGACAUAAGUAACGAUAAAGCGGGUGAAAAGCCCGCUCGCCGGAAGACCAAGGGUUCCUGUCCAACGUUAAUCGGGGCAGGGUGAGUCGACCCCUAAGGCGAGGCCGAAAGGCGUAGUCGAUGGGAAACAGGUUAAUAUUCCUGUACUUGGUGUUACUGCGAAGGGGGGACGGAGAAGGCUAUGUUGGCCGGGCGACGGUUGUCCCGGUUUAAGCGUGUAGGCUGGUUUUCCAGGCAAAUCCGGAAAAUCAAGGCUGAGGCGUGAUGACGAGGCACUACGGUGCUGAAGCAACAAAUGCCCUGCUUCCAGGAAAAGCCUCUAAGCAUCAGGUAACAUCAAAUCGUACCCCAAACCGACACAGGUGGUCAGGUAGAGAAUACCAAGGCGCUUGAGAGAACUCGGGUGAAGGAACUAGGCAAAAUGGUGC